ACCCUGUGUGUUUCUUUUUCUUCUAAAAGGACUACAAGCCAGAGGAAAAGGGACAGGUGCCACUCAGCCGAAUGCACAUGGUCUUACUGUUGUACACAAAUACCAACUGUGACACACCGUCUUGUUUCUUUCCAAAUCCUGCAGGAUAAGCCAAUAAACAAAAGGAAGCCGCAUGUGAGAAACUCAAGAGAGACGAAGCAACUCCAGUGCACCAUGGCCUCCUCCACCCCUCACACUGUGACCGGAGCUCUGCUUCAUCCAUUCACUGCCCCUGCAAGCUUUCCUUUGCUCAUGGUUAACAGAAGUACUGGAUGUGAAGAAGAAAUGACAAUAAAGGUUAAAGAUAAUAAAAUUCUGCUGAGGACUGUGA